ACCCCCUCUUCCGCGGCCCCUCCCUCCUCGCCCCCAGCCCGAGCCGCCUCCGGCUCAUCGCUAGGGAAGACAGAAGACCGGCGGGUCGGCUGCUUCCCCAAAGGUUCCAGAUCCUAUGUCAUAACCCCCCCCCCCCCCCCCCCCCCCCGCUCCGGCGGCCCCGCGACGCUGGGGACGCACCUCUAAUCAAAAUGUUUUUAAACAUUUGUGUAGUGAGACGUUAGUGGGAACGAACAAAGGACGUAAUUUGCUCUUCCCAUUCAAGUUCAUGAAUCCCCUGAAAGCUAUCGAAGGGGCCUGUGGACCCCAGGUUUAAAAUGCCUGCCCUAGUCAGUUCCCUAGCCCUGAUCCUUGUUCUGGGGAGUGCCUGCGAACAUCCAGCGUCCCUCGUCUGUGUGUAGCUUCCCCAUUUAAAAAAACAGGACCGUUAGGAUUUGAGGACUGGGGAACGCUUCCAGGUGAAAUCAGCCAAACCUUGUCCUGCAGGCAAGGAUUAUACCGAUAUUCUCCUAAACUUAAAUCUUCUUCCUUAGGAGAAUAGAGGAAGCUCAAUUGUGAUCCUGCGCUCAGGUCUCACGUGAACAUUCCCACAUACAUAUACCUGGUCUUAUGUCAUGGCUGGUCGUUACUAGAAUGAAUAGUACACCCCAGUCCCGACUAUCUGACUGCAGAUUAUCCACAGAUUUAAAGUUCGGACUAGUAAGCAGCACCUCACGUCAGAAAUCGCUCCCACACAGCACCGCAUCUACUUCGGGUUAGGUGAUGUCGUGUGUGUCCCCCUGCCUUUAAUCAUUACUUCCAGAAUACAGGUCUCAUCCAUUCAGAUAAAUAAAUCCCUCUACCCCGAUAGAAAGAAACUGAGUGUCCACUAGUAAACCCUUCCCCCAAGCUCUGACAAUGGUAGUCCCUGGUCUCAGAAGUUCCUGAUGAUUCUCUGGGUUCGAGCAAUCCCCACGCCUCCACUCUUGUAAACAGCUAGCUUCCUUCUGGUUCCAGAUACCCCACUGGUUUCCCGACAGGCUGAAGUCCCAGUCAGUCGGGAAGGGGUGGGAGCAGAGCAGGAAGCUGAACCUCCUCCAAAGUCACGUAAAAGUACAGCCUAGGGGGGUAGGACUUAAACUCCCUUAGUUAGGUACGGACCUUUUGUUCCCUCGCUCAGCCACAGUCCUUGCCAGACUUCAGAAGAUAGUCCGAGGGCAGGGGAGGAAACAAGUUUUGGAAUUUGGAAACAAGAAGGGAAGUCCUGCCCCUUUAAGGUUUCUGAUUUGGUAGAGGGGAUGGAUUGUUGACAAAAUGCAGGUGCUGCUUGGGAUCCAGUUCAAAGACAGACCCAUGUCCCUCUUGACUAAAGAAAGACCAGUUUGAUCAGACAUCUAGUUUUCCUGACUUCCAACUUCUGAUCUCUUCUAUGGUCAGUUCCUUCUUACAAUUCUCAGCUUCUUCACAUCACAAUUGCUUUCAAUCAUUCCCAUCUUACAAGAUUUUCCAUUUAGAAUUCCAUACAGCACCAUUACCACUACCAUCCCAUUUCCCCUUCCCAUCCUAUCAUAACCCCCCACAUAAGUCAUUCCCUCUGAGUUUGGGUAGCCCUUCCAUCAUGGACCCCUUCCUCCUUCAAUCCCCAGACCACCUCAUACAUUUUUUCUCAAACACUUAUGAUCGGAUCAGAGAAUGUGAGAGCAGAAACCUUAGAGAUCAUUAGUUCUACCUUCUUCCUCUAACCUCCAAACAGCCUCCUGGUUCCUCCCAGCAUCACCUUUAGACUGAGCUCUGCGUCCGCAGCCAAGAUGCUACAGGUCUCAUCUACCCCCUGUUGCCAUGCAGAUCAGAAGAUGCCUCUGAAGCAGCCUCUGAACUCGUCUUCAUUCCAUACACCCUGCUUUGGGCUGCUGUGACACUUUUUUCACUUCCCAGCCCCAGCCAAGACUGUUCCCUCACCCUUACUCCUCCCCUUCCCUCCCCUUCUGAAUCUCAGGACAACAUCAAAGGCCAAGGCAAAAUCCAGCCUAAACAGCAAGAGACAAUUCAACAACCUAAGCAAUUCAGACUCAAAUCUGACUCGCAUUCCCCUCUCCUCAAUGCUCCAUAACCUCCAUACCGCAGGAGAAGAGCUAUUCCAAAAGAACCAUAUUUCGGCAGAAGCUUCACCUCGCCCUGCCUUGGCUCAAUAUCCAGCACCUCACCCAAACCACAAAGCCGGAGCUUCUAUCGCCAGAGCAGAAGCCGCCUCGAUCAGAACCCUGCUGUGACUGCAACUUUCUGUACCAGACUUUCCCUUUCUCCCUGAAGAGGGGCUUCCUGCUGAGGAUGGGGGAACCAGCCUCAUGGACUUACCCAGAAUCAGUCUCUUCCUAUCAAAAAGCCUCAGAGAAGAGUGUACAGGAGCAAAUCAAGCUUCAGGACCUCUUCCACUGCACCAUCAUCUAGCUGUCUCUUCUCCAAAGUGUCCUAAUUUCAAGGCAGCACUGGUCAUGGUCUCUGAGAUUCCUCAUGUAGUUCUUCUCACUCCCCACAUUUGAACCUGGAAACAGUAACCACUUUCAAAGAUACAGCUUCCAGCUAGCUUGCACCAUCUUCAAGGAAGUGAAAAAACUGGAACUUCACAAUCAGUGGAAGAAAAGAAAGCAAUCAUGGGUGCUUAAAUAUAUAGAUCACAAGGACUUCUGACCUGCAAAUGAAAAAUCACUCAGACUCCUGAGGGGAAGGGAACUACCUACUAAGUUCUUCCACACCAGCAUCAAUGGAAAUAUUUAGAUAAGGAACAGAAACAAAUAAGUCCAGGGUCACAAAGCAGUGAGUCAAGUCAUAUUUGAACCUCAGAUCUUCUGGAGUCCACUCAAUCCAUUUCCUUGCCUGAUGUUGUUGAACAGAAUAGAAUCUUGAAGGCAUAAUUAGUUAGCAGCUAACCUCAAAUGGGCUGGUAAAGUGAGAACAGAGAUCCAAGAGAUCUUGGGCAUUUUAUUUAAACUAUUUGAGUGGGUUUUUUAAAUUAUAAAUAUGGAGAGGGGGGAUAGACUUUGGCCUUUCAGAAGGCAAUUAUGAGAAUAUAUAAGAGGUAAAGAAUGCAUUAUAGUUAGGGGGAAUUCUUUUUAUUAGGCUAGAUACUAACCUAAAAUUAGAGUUUAAUAAAGAUGAUGAGAUAAGCUAAAGUAGAGGUGGGAGAAAAAGUUUGAGGGGAGGGGGGAGGAGAGAGUAGGCACUAAGGGUGAGAAAGCAUUACUAGAAAUCUAGUAUGGGAUGCAAUUGUUCAUCUGGUCUCUUUCAUGAUCAGACAACCCAGUCUAGGCAUGGGAAACUGCUAUAUUAAGAUUAACCAAAGUAAUUGUGGCUGCUUAGUUGGAAAAGAAAAUUGGGUUGGGGUGGGGGAAGGAUUGGCAAAUUUCAAUUCACCACAAGGAAGGACUUCCUAAUCAUUAGAAGUGUCAGUCUUUACAGUAAGUUGGCUGUAGAGGUAUCUCUUGGCUUCUGACAGAAGUUAGAUGACCAGUUGUCAAGUAUGUUAUAAAAAGGAUUCCUCCUGUUCAAAUAUGGGUUGAACUCUGAACCUCCUUUCAUUUCAGCACUGAGAUUCUAUGAGAUUUCUAGCCCUACUUCCCAAGGUCAGGUAAGUUCUUAAUUCUUGCCCACAUGUAGCCCCCUUAGGGCCUCAGGAACUUCCCUAAAACUAGUUUAAAAAGGAAAGAUUUGUGGGAGUUUUUGAGAAAUCAGGGCAAGUAGGCAUGGAAAAGGAGGCUAAUUAAACUUCAGGAACUUGUAGAUCUGACUAGUGUUCCUUUUAUAAAACGGGAGUUGGGGGAGCUUAUUGAGUGGAAAUGUAAGCUCUAUAGAAAUAUAACAAUUUGGGAGUUCAGCAAAAUUGGAAUUUGUUGUUGUUGUUAAGGCUUACAAGUUUCAUGCUGCUUGCCCUGGCUGCCAUAUACAACACUAGAGAAGGACUAGGGCAGAAGACAAGGCAGGUCAGGGUCCAGCCACAACCUGACCAAAGAUAUGGGAUCCAGCCAUAGCCUGAGAGUUCAGAGGCAAGAAAAUUGAAAAAGAACUGGGAGAUAGAAGAGACUAGUUCCAAUCUUUCUUCUUUUAUUAAUAGAUGCCUGACCUCGGGCCCUAUCAAUAAGACAGGAAAAAUACUUCCCCUGUCUGGAGAGAAAAGAAGACACCAAUCUUUGGAUCCUAAUAAUCUAAAUGCAUGGAGACUAAUCCUCCAUAGGCAACAUGAAACCAAAAGAAGGAAACCCUCCUGAAGUGCAAGGGUGACAUCAGAGAAGAGGGAAAGUGGGCACAACUUCUACUGAUUGUUUCAUUUGAUCAAGCAUUAAUUCAUACUAAAUAUACAAUGAAUGUUCUGAGGUGAUGCUCUCAUUGACCCAAGAACCAUGAGGGACAGGUACCUCCUAGCCAAACGUGCCCUACAAGGUAAGAAACUGGGGGGAACCAUAGGGCGUAUGUUCAACUGCAACAGCAUAAGCAUUGUCUACUCUAUAUACUGGUUCUGGAAAUCCUUGAGUUUAUGAAAACGAUUCAAGCAAUGACAGUCACCCCACUAUGGUGAUGCGAGACCUCUGAUACAGUACUCUGGUGCUUUUGAGAACUCUUCCUUUUAGGAAUACAGAAUGAGUGGGGCUUCAGAGCAGCUUCGAGUGGAUUUACUUCUUCAGAUCACUUGCAGAGAUCCCUCUCUGUUAAAAUUCUAGUUUGCUAUGACAGGUCAGGUAGUGAGAGCUGGUUCAAAUCUUAAUAGCACUAAACAUCACUAAAAAAAGAGAAUUUAUAUUUUUAGAUUGGAAAAUUCAAAUAACUGAAAUUUUUUUAUAUUUAGCAUAUAUUACCAAACCUUAUGUCAACUAUUAAAACUGCAAAAUUAUCAUUCUAGCCAUUUUCUUUUAGCUGCUCAUCUGUCCCUUACUACAGAAUUAAUAGAACACUUUUUUUUAAAACUAUGAUUACCCCCUGAUAUAUAACUGCAUUCAUUUGGAAUUUGUCAAACCAUUCAAUUGUUAGAAAAAGCUCUGAGAUGGGAUGUAUAAAUUUAUUCAAUUUCAAGAAAAUGCAGAUCAAUACCACUACACACUUCUCAGACAAGCUAAGAUGACAGGAAAACAUAAUGAUGAAUAUUGAAGUUGUGGGAAAACAGACACAGUAUGUUGUUGGUGGAGUUGUGAACUGAUCCAACCAUUCUGGAACAAUAUGGAACAAAGCCCAAAGGUUUCUAAAACUGUGCAUCCCUUUUGAUCCAGCAGUGUGUCUACUGGGUCUGUAUUCCAAAGAGAUCACAAAAAAGGGAAAAA